GCUGGGCAUGGUGACGCAUACCUGUAAUCCCAGUGAUUUGGGAGGCUGAGGCAGAAGGAUCAAGGCCAGCCUGGGCAAUUUAGUGAGACUCUUUCUUGA
rnacentral:sRNA from 1 species